rnacentral:rRNA from 1 species
AGGAUAAACGCUGGCGGCGUGCCUGACACAUGCAAGUCGAACGCCCUACGCAAGUAGGGAGUGGCGGACGGGUGAGGAACACGUGGAUACCUACCCCCUGGUGAGGAAUACCGGCGAGAAAUCGCCGACAAUACCGCAUACGUUUGCUCACGCAAACAAAGCCUUCGUAAGAGGGCGCCAGAGGAUGGGUCUGCGCCUGAUUAGCUAGCUGGUGGGGUAAUGGCCUACCAAGGCGACG